UACGGGGGGAGCAAGCGUUGUUCGGAUUUACUGGGCGUAAAGGGCGGGUAGGCGGCCACCGCAAGUCAGUUGUGAAAUCUCCGGGCUUAACCCGGAAAGGUCAACUGAUACUGCGGGGCUAGAGUGCAGAAGGGGCAACUGGAAUUCUCGGUGUAGCGGUGAAAUGCGUAGAUAUCGAGAGGAACACCUGCGGCGAAGGCGGGUUGCUGGGACGGUACUGACGCUGAGACGCGAAAGCGUGGGGAGCGAACAGG
rnacentral:rRNA from 1 species